UACGAAGGGGGCUAGCGUUGCUCGGAAUUACUGGGCGUAAAGCGCACGUAGGCGGCUCUUUAAGUCGGAGGUGAAAUCCUGGAGCUCAACUCCAGAACUGCCCUUCGAUACUGAAGAGCUCGAGUCCGGGAGAGGUGAGUGGAACUGCGAGUGUAGAGGUGAAAUUCGUAGAUAUUCGCAAGAACACCAGUGGCGGAAGGCGGCUCACUGGCCCGGUACUGACGCUGAGGUGGCGAAAGCCGUGGGGAGCAAACAGG
rnacentral:rRNA from 1 species